ensembl:lncRNA
CAGAACAAACUGGAACAACUGCCUGCAGGGCUGCACCCUCCAUGGACCCCUACCAAACAAGACACAGGACAUCUUUGCUUAGACCAGGCUCUGUGCAUAUGCCACCCCUCAGGACAGGCACCGCGUUCUCAGCUGCUCAGGAUAAUGCAAAGACCUUGCUGCUGUGCUAUGCUCAGUUGUGUCUGACUCGUUCCCACGCCAUGGACUAUAGCCAGCUAGGCUCCUCUGUCCAUGGAAUUUUCCAGGCAAGGAUACUGAAAGAGCCACCUGGCAAGGACCCGAGGCCCUCAGUCCAACAGCCAACAAAAAACUGAAUCCUGCCAACAACCAUGUGAGUGAGCUUGGAGUGGAUCCUGUUCCAGCUGAGCCUUGAGACGAGACUGCAACCCCCACUGACACUUUGACUGCAGCUUGUCAGAAAAGCUGAGUGGACACCUUGAUUGCAAUCUCCUGAGAGAUUCUGUGGCAGAUGACCCCCGUUGGCCCAUGUCUGUAAUCCUGACCCACAGAGACUGUGAGAUCAUCAG